AUUGAACGCUGGCGGCAGGCUUAACACAUGCAAGUCGAACGAGGGGCGGGCGGGAGAGUAGUGCGUGGGACUCUAGCUUAUGGGGGGGUAAAACUACGAGAAACUGUAGCUAAUCCCGCAUACUCGAGUAUAAGCACAAGUGGGAUUAGGUUGUUGGUGAGGUAAAGGCUCACCAAGCCGACGAUCUCUAGCUGGUCUGAGAGGAUGACCAGCCACACUGGGACUGAGACACGGCCCAGACUCCUACGUGAGGCAGCAGUGGGGAAUAUUGCGCAAUGGGGGCAAGCUGACACAGCCAUGCCGCGUGAAUGAAGAAGGCCUUCGGGUUGUAAAGUUCUUUCGGUAGCGAGGCGUUACCUACAGAAGAAGCACCGGCUAACUCCGUGCCAGCAGCCGCGGUAAUAC
rnacentral:rRNA from 1 species